UUCGCCCUUAGAGUUUGAUCCUGGCUCAGGACGAACGCUGGCGGCGCGCCUAACACAUGCAAGUCGAACGAGCGAGAGAGAGCUUGCUUUCUUGAGCGAGUGGCGAACGGGUGAGUAACGCGUGAGGAACCUGCCUCAAAGAGGGGGACAACAGUUGGAAACGACUGCUAAUACCGCAUAAGCCCACAGCUCGGCAUCGAGCAGAGGGAAAAGGAGCAAUCCGCUUUGAGAUGGCCUCGCGUCCGAUUAGCUAGUUGGUGAGGUAAUGGCCCACCAAGGCGACGAUCGGUAGCCGGACUGGGAGGUUGAACGGCCACAUUGGGACUGAGACACGGCCCAGACUCCUACGGGAGGCAGCAGUGGGGAAUAUUGCACAAUGGGGGAAACCCUGAUGCAGCGACGCCGCGUGGAGGAAGAAGGUCUUCGGAUUGUAAACUCCUGUUGUUGAGGAAGAUAAUGACGGUACUCAACAAGGAAGUGACGGCUAACUACGUGCCAGCAGCCGCGGUAAAACGUAGGUCACAAGCGUUGUCCGGAAUUACUGGGUGUAAAGGGAGCGCAGGCGGGAAGACAAGUUGGAAGUGAAAUCCAUGGGCUCAACCCAUGAACUGCUUUCAAAACUGUUUUUCUUGAGUAGUGCAGAGGUAGGCGGAAUUCCCGGUGUAGCGGUGGAAUGCGUAGAUAUCGGGAGGAACACCAGUGGCGAAGGCGGCCUACUGGGCACCAACUGACGCUGAGGCUCGAAAGUGUGGGUAGCAAACAGGAUUAGAUACCCUGGUAGUCCACACUGUAAACGAUGAUUACUAGGUGUUGGAGGAUUGACCCCUUCAGUGCCGCAGUUAACACAAUAAGUAAUCCACCUGGGGAGUACGACCGCAAGGUUGAAACUCAAAGGAAUUGACGGGGGCCCGCACAAGCAGUGGAGUAUGUGGUUUAAUUCGACGCAACGCGAAGAACCUUACCAAGUCUUGACAUCCUGCGACGGUUCUGGAAACAGAACUUUCCUUCGGGACGCAGAGACAGGUGGUGCAUGGUUGUCGUCAGCUCGUGUCGUGAGAUGUUGGGUUAAGUCCCGCAACGAGCGCAACCCUUAUGGUCAGUUACUACGCAAGAGGACUCUGGCCAGACUGCCGUUGACAAAACGGAGGAAGGUGGGGAUGACGUCAAAUCAUCAUGCCCUUUACGACUUGGGCUACACAUGUACUACAAUGGCGUUAAACAAAGAGAAGCAAGACCGCGAGGUGGAGCAAAACUCAGAAACAACGUCCCAGUUCGGACUGCAGGCUGCAACUCGCCUGCACGAAGUCGGAAUUGCUAGUAAUCGCAGAUCAGCAUGCUGCGGUGAAUACGUUCCCGGGCCUUGCACACACCGCCCGUCA
rnacentral:rRNA from 1 species